GUUGUAGUGGUAAAAUGAUCAAAGCAACAUAGGGAAAAGGGGGUUUAUUUUGGCUUGUGGUUCCAGAGAGACAGAGGCCAUCAUAGUGGGGAAGAUGUGGCAAGAGGAACAUGAAGCUCACUCAUCGCAAUGCAUCAGAAGUUAGACAGCAGAGAGAGAACAGGGAGAACAGGAAGCCAGCUCAACCUCUGAAGCCUUAAGGCCCACCCCCAGUGACUCACUUCCUCCCGCAAGGGUCUAGCGUCUAAAGGGUUUCAGGACCUUCCCCAACAGCGCCACCAGCUGGGGAAGUACUCAGACAGGAGCCUAUGGGAAGGCUUCAUAGUCAAACGUCAGCCUCUCCAAUUACCAGCUUCUCAAAGAUAGGGCGUUGAGGCGCAAUGGUAACACAGGCAUGCGCAAAGGCUGUAGGGAACUUCUCUAGCAGUUGAGCUGUGCUCUGCUUGCUGUGUUUGGUGAUCUUGAUAUUUAGCUACAGUGAUGAUAAGUGGGAAACUUUUUUAUACUAUGUUAAAUGCAUUUUUGUAAGGAACAAAACAAACUUUGAUGUUCAAUGAUAAAGUGAUUUCUGAAGAAUGCUGAUUCAGCCACGAGAUGAAGUAAUAUGCCGCUCAUGAUAUUACAUUGCCAAAGGAAACCUAUCAAAUAAAAGCCAUAAAUACAAGAA
rnacentral:lncRNA from 1 species